UACGAAGGGAGCUAGCGUUGUCCGGAAUCAUUGGGCGUAAAGAGCGUGUAGGCGGCUAUUUAAGUCCUGCGUGAAAUCCUGCGGCUCAACCGCAGACGGUCGUGGGAAACUGGAUGGCUAGAGGUGCGGGAGAGGAGAGUGGAAUUCCCGGUGUAGCGGUGAAAUGCGCAGAUAUCGGGAAGAACACCCGUGGCGAAGGCGGCUCUCUGGGACGGUACUGACGCUGAGGUGCGAAAGCGUGGGGAGCAAACAGG
rnacentral:rRNA from 1 species